rnacentral:rRNA from 1 species
CGGGACUGGUGAGUAACGCGUGAGGAACCUGCCUUUCGGAGGGGGACAACAGUUGGAAACGACUGCUAAUACCGCAUGAUACAUUUGGGCCGCAUGGUCUGAAUGUCAAAGAUUUAUCGCCGAAAGAUGGCCCCGCGUCUGAUUAGCUAGUUGGUGGGGUAACGGCCCACCAAGGCGACGAUCAGUAGCCGGACUGAGAGGUUGGCCGGCCACAUUGGGACUGAGAUACGGCCCAGACUCCUACGGAAGGCAGCAG